AUCCAUUCGGUGACAUCUAAUAAAAUUGAAACAAUAUAGAGAAUAUUAGCAUUACUCAUAUACAAGAUGACAUGCACAAAUUGAGAAAUAUACUACUCUAUC